UAUUGUCUCAGUCCAGUAUCAUAUAUAAUUGGGAACUGCAGAAAGAGGAUUAGCAUGGUCCUUGCACAAGAAUGAUAUGCAUUACCAGUAAUGCUCGGUAUUUUAAU